rnacentral:ncRNA from 1 species
CGACUGUCUAAUUAAAACAGCAUUGCAAUGGUCUUUAAGGGUGUUGACGCAAUGUAAUUUCUGCCCAGUGCUCUGAAUGUCAACGUGAAGAAAUUAAAAAAAGUGCGAGUAAACGGCGGGAAUAACUAUGACUCUCUUAAGUUGUAGUUACUCGGAAUGGUGAUGCG